rnacentral:rRNA from 1 species
CCUACGGGGAGCAGCAGUCGAGAAUCAUUCACAAUGGGGGAAACCCUGAUGGUGCGACGCCGCGUGGGGGAAUGAAGGUCUUCGGAUUGUAAACCCCUGUCAUGUGGGAGCAAAUUAAAAAGAUAGUACCACAAGAGGAAGAGACGGCUAAAUCUGUGCCAGCAGCCGCGGUAAUACAGCGGUCUCAAGCGUUGUUCGGAAUCACUGGGCGUAAAGCGUGCGUAGGCUGUUUCGUAAAGCGUGUGUGAAAGGCGCGGUGUCAACCCGCGGACGGCAGAUGAUACUGCGAGACUAGAGUAAUGGAGGGUGAACCGGAAUGCGCGGUGUAGCAGUGAAAUGCGUAGAUAUCGAGAGGAACACUCGGGGCGAAGGCGGGUUCCUGGACAUUAACUGACGCUGAGGCACGAAGGCCAGGGGAGCGAAAGGGAUUAGAUACCCCAGUAGUC